GAGUCUACGCGCCCGCGCUCGUUUCAUUCAUUGGGGAGUCGCCCUUCGGGGAACGCGGCAGCUCGGCGAAGCCAUCCCGAGCUGGCGCAGGCCCGGCUCACACCCGGCGAGCCUCUUCGUUUCAGCUCGCGGCCUUCGCACCGCGCUACGUCCCCGGCCCCGCUCCGAAACUACGCAGAGCGCUGCUCGGCAGAGGGCAGCCGGCCUCCGCCCGGGAGGCCGUCACCGCCGGUCACUCGAGACUGGGCUUCGCGCUUCGGCGGAGGACUCUGGGGACACAGGUCAGCCCACAGCAAGGACACAAGGGACACGGACCAGGCCGGCCGGGAGGGACCACCCUUGGGUGAACCGGGGGCAGACCUGCUCCCUCCUACUUCACCGCUGUGAGAUUCCUCACCUAGAAAGAAGCAGCCCCGAUGCACUGCUACAAGUGUGAGCAUAGACAACAGAUCACAGACCAUGAGAUGAGCUGCCUCUAAACGCUCCCAAGGGAAUGGGGCUUCAGCCUGUGCUCACCGUGGGGACCAGUGACUGCAAGGUGUCUCGCAUGGGAGGCACACACGUAUUUGUAAAAGAAAAUAAUGGUGUGAAUCCUUCUAUUUCUUGUCUGUGCAACUUCACAGUUAUGCUUUUCCAACCCCGAGUUUUUCCCUCUGUGCAGUGGUGGUAAUAAAGCUUUCACGCUGAAAAGCUGUGAAUUUCCCAUUUUA